rnacentral:rRNA from 1 species
AUCGCAUGAUGCAGUGUGAAAAACUCCGGUGGUAUAAGAUGGACCCGCGUUGGAUUAGCUAGUUGGUGAGGUAACGGCCCACCAAGGCGACGAUCCAUAGCCGACCUGAGAGGGUGACCGGCCACAUUGGGACUGAGACACGGCCCAAACUCCUACGGGAGGCAGCAGUGGGGAAUAUUGCACAAUGGGCGAAAGCCUGAUGCAGCGACGCCGCGUGAGCGAAGAAGUAUUUCGGUAUGUAAAGCUCUAUCAGCAGGGAAGAUAAUGACGGUACCUGACUAAGAAGCACCGGCUAAAUACGUGCCAGCAGCCGCGGUAAUACGUAUGGUGCAAGCGUUAUCCGGAUUUACUGGGUGUAAAGGGAGCGCAGGCGGUGCGGCAAGCCUGAUGUGAAAGCCCGGGGCUCAACCCCGGUACUGCAUUGGAAACUGUCGUACUAGAGUGUCGGAGGGGUAAGCGGAAUUCCUAGUGUAGCGGUGAAAUGCGUAGAUAUUAGGAGGAACACCAGUGGCGAAGGCGGCUUACUGGACGAUAACUGACGCUGAGGCUCGAAAGCGUGGGGAGCAAACAGGAUUAGAUACCCUGGUAGUCCACGCCGUA